GAUUUCAACUGAAAAAGUUAUCAACAACAAAGUUGUAUAACUAUCAAAAUCUAUAACUUCUAUUUUGGUCAUUUUUUUCAUCCGACAAAGCGAUAGGAACAUUUUCACAAAAUUUACAUAUCUCUCUUAUAGUUUAUACAACUAUAUAAGAGAAAUGUACAUUUUGUGAAUAAGGUUACAAAUUAUUUUGUCGGAUGAAGAAAUGACCCAAAUAAAAGUUAUAGAUCUUGAUGAGUUAUACCACUUUGUUAUUGAUGAAUUUUUCAGUUGAAUUC
rnacentral:pre_miRNA from 3 species